rnacentral:rRNA from 1 species
AUGCCGGCACAAUUUUUGCACUUCACUGGGGUGACACCCCCCCCUGCGGUUCACUUGGCGAUGCAGAAUAGUUCUUUUGCUCUGCAUGUUGUUCGCUUGGCGCAGCAGUGCAAUUUUGUGCUCUACGUGCACUUCGGUGCACCAUGCAGUACACUCGUUGCGGUCGUGUGGUUCACUGGCGACUCUGGACCAGAGAUGCCACGUACAUGCGAGGUUCAGAUGUCCCUGGAGUGCAGCUCGGAUGGGCUACGUGCGAUGGCCUUGGUGUGCUUUCUUUUUCUGUUGUCCCUGGUUUUGUUGUUUUGA